GAAGAAGAGAGAGAGUACAGCCUUAGUUCAGAUCACAUAUGACUAUCUUUUGCGAGUCUGAUCGAUACUCUGAUGAAGGCUGUACCCUCUCUCUUCUUC
rnacentral:ncRNA from 3 species